CAGCUGUCAGGAGUUUUUAAAGUGGUGAAUUUAAACAGUGUUACAACAGAAUGAAGAUUUCUGAAAAAAGUAGAUGGCUAACCUAUUAUAUUUUGGGCAUCAUUUGACUUAGAUAGUGUUAAUGUUUAAAGUUGAAGACAGUAUAUAUAAUUCAUCAAGAACAUUGGAAUCCAGAAUUAAACCUCAAAUUUGACUGAUUUACUAUAGAACUAAUAGUACGAAAAUUCACCGGGCCGAGUCCAAGAUAAGAAAUGUCAAAAAUGGGAACUGGUUGAUGGAUAUGGAUGAAACUUUGCAUCAGUGUUGUGUUUAUGAAUAGAAGUCAGGAAAAUAAAGGAUUACUGACAGACCAUGCAGUUACCAAAGCCUGGGUUUGAGUAUAUGACCUUACCUUAUCCUGGUAAAGAUCUAUAGAAGGACUCCUUCAGCUCUGUUUGGCAGCAGCUUUGUCAGGACACAUUGAGAAGGAACUCAUUUGUUGGUGGAAGGAUUAAAGAUGUACUACCCACCAGCUGUCAGGAGUUUUUUAAAGUGGUGAAUUUAAACAGUGUUACAACAGAAUGAAGAUUUCUGAAAAAAGUAGAUGGCUAACCUAUUAUAUUUUGGGCAUCAUUUGACUUAGAUAGUGUUAAUGUUUAAAGUUGAAGACAGUAUAUAAUUCAUCAAGAACAUUGGAAUCCAGAAUUAAACCUCAAAUUUGACUGAUUUACUAUAGAACUAAUAGUACGAAAAUUCACCGGGCCGAGUCCAG